AGGUAGAAAUGACUAACAUGCUGAUUAACUAUAUGCUAUAUAUGACAUUGAAUCCUAAAUAUUCAUAGAUAACACACUGUAUUUCCCCUGCACUAAUACUAUACUACUAUACUAAAUAUUCUGAAAACAAAAUAGAGAGAAAGAUGAGGGGGGAGGAAAAAUAAAAAGGACAGAGAUUCCCCUGAUCCUGAAAGCCAGGCUAAAAGGGUUGGGACUUGGGAGCCACUUUGUCCCUAGUUUCAAUUCAAGGAGGCCCUCUGUGUCAAUCCAUUAGAUAUGCCACUACUCUCUGUUCUUUGGACUAGUAUAACUCUGCAUCCAGACGAGGGAGCAGCAGCCAGCAAGGAGAUCAGUGUGGAGCUGGACCUAAGCUUCGCAUGCAUAUAUGCAUGCUACCCUGCAUCCAUUUCUGAAACCUAGAGGAGUAAACUAGUUAUAGUACUGUACAUAGUGAUAUCAUCUCCUGUAAUAUGAUUCAAGAGAAGAUGUUUGUUUGGAAGCUGUCAAAAUAUGACAUACUGGAUGAUCAAAACCCUAUAUCUCCCAUCAGUAUCAACAACAGCGUAAGCAGUUUCUUCGGUUGCCACAGUGGCAAGAGGGAGGAAGAAACAUCAUCAUCCAUCAUGAUUUUAAUACAAGAUCCUCCUCAAACAGCAUUGUUUUACAUCAUACCUGAAAAAGUAGCUACGAAAUCGUUCCAUAUAGCAUUGCAAGUACAAGUAAGCAUUGUGAUGUUCUCGUAGCUUGCGAACCGGUGCUACCCCGACUGAGCUUUUCUUCUUCUAAAAACUUCUCCAACCACCAUACAUCUUUUCUGGUGCUUUAUUUGUGCUAGAAUUAAUAUUCUUGACCUUGUAAGGCCUUUUUCUUGACCUUGUAAGGCCCUCUCACAUCGUUUUCCAUCUCAUUAUGUACCUCGUGCAUCUCUUUCUUGAUAUCUACAAGAAUGAACCUGCCAUCGCCAAGUUGGCCAGCCAUCUCCUACCUCAUGUUCCCUUCUCCCUUCUAUCCCUCCUGAGCUAGCUGCACCAUCAUAGCCUUUUUAUGAGAUAAUCUCAAUUAAUGGCUAGUGUUUUUAGGCACUUGUGAGUUUCUCCCACAUCCUAGUAGUUAAUGCUACUUCUGGUCAUCCAUUGAUUUGCUCUUAUAUGCAAAAUAUAAAUGCAAUGGAAGCUUGUCUUUCUCAUUGAAGUUAUCACUCACCAAAUGGUGCUGAUCGAAAUUUGUAAUGAUGUAAUUUUGUAAUUCUCAUUUGAUUAAUGUGACAUUUCCUUCUUGCAACUUAUAA